rnacentral:rRNA from 1 species
GAUGAACGCUGGCGGCGUGCCUAAUACAUGCAAGUCGAGCGAACGGACGAGAAGCUUGCUUCUCUGAUGUUAGCGGCGGACGGGUGAGUAACACGUGGAUAACCUACCUAUAAGACUGGGAUAACUUCGGGAAACCGGAGCUAAUACCGGAUAAUAUUUUGAACCGCAUGGUUCAAAAGUGAAAGACGGUCUUGCUGUCACUUAUAGAUGGAUCCGCGCUGCAUUAGCUAGUUGGUAAGGUAACGGCUUACCAAGGCAACGAUGCAUAGCCGACCUGAGAUGGUGAUCAGCCACACUGGAACUGAGACACGGUCCAGACUCCUACGGGAGGCAGCAGUAGGGAAUCUUCCGCAAUGGGCGAAAGCCUGACGGAGCAACGCCGCGUGAGUGAUGAAGGUCUUCGGAUCGUAAAACUCUGUUAUUAGGGAAGAACAUAUGUGUAAGUAACUGUGCACAUCUUGACGGUACCUAAUCAGAAAGCCACGGCUAACUACGUG